CCUACGGGAGGCAGCAGUAGGGAAUCUUCCACAAUGGGCGAAAGCCUGAUGGAGCAACGCCGCGUGGGUGAAGAAGGUCUUCGGAUCGUAAAACCCUGUUGUUAGAGAAGAAAGUGCGUGAGAGUAACUGUUCACGUUUCGACGGUAUCUAACCAGAAAGCCACGGCUAACUACGUGCCAGCAGCCGCGGUAAUACGUAGGUGGCAAGCGUUAUCCGGUUUUAUUGGGCGUAAAGGGAACGCAGGCGGUCUUUUAAGUCUGAUGUGAAAGCCUUCGGCUUAACCGGAGUAGUGCAUUGGAAACUGGGAGACGUGAGUGCAGAAGAGGAGAGUGGAACGCCAUGUGUAGCGGUGAAAUGCGUAGAGAUAUGGAAGAACACCAGGGGCGAAAGCGGCUCUCUGGUCUGUAACUGACGCUGAGGUUCGAAAGCGUGGGUAGCAAACAGGAUUAGAUACCCCUGUAGUC
rnacentral:rRNA from 1 species